rnacentral:lncRNA from 1 species
UUAUUCCAGCUACUAUUGAGGCUUCUUCGUCACUCGUAUCGUCUUCUAAUGUGGGUACUGAACUUGUGGCAUCUGCUAUUUCCACAUUAUCUACUACUGACCCUCAUGAAGUAACGUUGGAUUUGCAUAAUGAUAUUUCUGUUGUGGUGGUCUCAGAAAGUAGUAAUGAGGAUAAUAUUGCUGUUGGAAUGGCUGAAAAAUUGAAUAUUGUGAGUAAUAGCAUGGGUGCUAGUACAGGAAAUAAGGGGUAUGAGAUUCAAAGUGCUGAAGGGGCUGUUGUUAUAGUAAAAUCGAUUGGG